ACAAUACUUCUUUGAGUGAAAGAGCUCAGUAUUUUAACAAUGUUUCUUAGUUUCUGUGCUGAGAUGCAUAAAUACUGCACUGCUCCAGUCCUUAGAUAUUUCAUCUGCCUCUCGUUUCUUCUAAUAGGUGUCAUAAACGGAGACAAAAUAACCCAGUUAGAAUUAACCAAAACUGUGCAUGAAGGGGAUGAUGUUCUUCUGUCCUGUAAUUUUACAAGUGGCUCAGCUGUAAACUUACAUUGGUACCAGCAGAAGCCAAAUGGAUCUCUUGAGCUUAUGGGACUUUCUACAAGUAAAUAUCAACUUAAUUCAACAGCAGGACAUUUCUCAUCACAUUAUGAUGUUUCCAAGAGUGCCGUAUUUCUAAACAUUGCCAAAGUGGAGCUGUCUGACUCAGCCGUUUACUACUGUGCAAUGAGUGACACAGUGUCGCACACUCCCACUAAUGUCAUACAGUAACGGCUGCUGCUGCUGUAUGUUUUAGGAAUAAAAUAUUGUACCAUCACAGGAGUGGAGGAUGCCUUGACAAAGUAUCUUUUGGGCUUUUAUUCUCUGCUUCUGCAUAAUUCAGAAAUCAUUUCAAUGCUUUAAUGAUUUAGAAUCCUUGCUUACUACC